CUGGGUUUGACAUGGGCGCUAAAGCCGCAGAGAUGUGGUGUCCUUCGGGGGCGUUCACAGGUGGUGCAUGGCUGUCGUCAGCUCGUGUCGUGAGAUGUUGGGUUAAGUCCCGCAACGAGCGCAACCCUCGUUCCAUGUUGCCAGCGGGUUAUGCCGGGGACUCAUGGGAGACUGCCGGGGUCAACUCGGAGGAAGGUGGGGAUGACGUCAAGUCAUCAUGCCCCUUAUGUCCAGGGCUUCACGCAUGCUACAAUGGCCGGUACAAAGGGCUGCGAUACCGCAAGGUGGAGCGAAUCCCAAAAAGCCGGUCUCAGUUCGGAUCGGGGUCUGCAACUCGACCCCGUGAAGUCGGAGUCGCUAGUAAUCGCAGAUCAGCAUUGCUGCGGUGAAUACGUUCCC
rnacentral:rRNA from 1 species